UUUGGCUUCACUGACUUCUCUUUCUUUGUCCAUUCUGUCAUCAAGCGCGCUAUCGACUUUGCUUUUUUUGCCCUCUCAGCAAAAAAAAUUGUCUUUUCUACGUCGAAACGAAAUUUGAAAAAUGCUUCUGUCAUCCUACCAAAUUCGUAGGCUCUGUAAAGUACCAACUGCACAAUGCCAAACUCAAUCGGGUGGUCUCAUAGCUCGAGGUGGACCAAUUUACAUCGCAUCUCAAUUAUCUCCAUUGACUCUUUCGUUCACUUCUAAAACAAUUGGUACAAUACAUUUUUUUCUUAAUACAUGCAUACAUGUCCCAAUUUAAUUGACCAAAUCCUCUUUUUUAGAUUGCCAACGAAAAGGUACAGCGUACGUGUUUAUUCAAUCUAGUCCUUCGUAAGCCUCUCGGGGGAACCGCCAAGAAUGCAAUAAGGUUAACAGAGAGCGAGAUGCCCUAUUUCUUUAUGUACAACUUCACUCAGGCCCAAUUAACCUGGUUUUUCUGUUCUCUAUUUUGUCUGAAUCUCAAGUUCCCUGCUGCGCUAUUCUCAGUAUACGAAAUAGGUGCUAUGUUUACUUGAUACACAUCUGUGUAUGCGCGUAUUCCGUGCAUCUAUUUUUGUAUGCUUAACGAAACGAUGUCUCCUCUUUCUCCGCGACUUUGCAUUUGGAAAACGUUUCUUGUUGUAGCAAAUUCUAACUCAAAAACUGAUCGUACGAACUAGGCCAAAUUGGUCAUUGUCAUACCCAGGUAUUCUUUUCGUGUAGAUUGAGGACGUUAUCGUCGAGUUCUAGAGGUAACUCCGAUUUGUCCGAAUCUGAUCUGCAAAAAUCAGAAAUUGGACCGGCCAAUUUCCAGUCCAAGUUCAAUGGCAACUCCUCAAACAAUAAACAUUCUUUCGGCUCUUUCUAUGGCAUAAAGAAUCUCUUACGUCGAAAAUCGUCAUCUUUUUGGUGGAGUACAAGACAACCUCGUUCUUUCAACCCCUUUACUACUAAUUUCAAUAGUUUGUUCGACCUCGGCAAUCCCUCGCUGUCUCCCCGGUAUCGCGCUGCGCAGCUGGUCCUGAUCAACACCGAGAAAACCUUCUCCAAGCGUAUAUUCAAGGGCACCUACCUUCUGUUAUGGAAUUCCAGUAUCGCGAUCAGGCCGUUUCCGAAAGACUGCGAACUACCUGAUUUUUGGCAAGCACAACUCGAGCUUGGACGAAUCGACACGAUCCGGGGUUUUCUAACUUACUUCUGUUUUUUGAACUUGAUCUUUGCCGUCAUUUGGAUAUUUGCUAUUUCCAGAUAUCCAAAACACUUUGCACCAAAAGUUUUCAUGCUAGCCACACAAGAAGAAGUUAUUCAAUACUCAGAAGAGUUUCUCAAGGUGUUUGGUGCCAAGGAGACUGAGUCCGUUCCAAAGGAAGUGGCCACCACUCUUCUUGCUCUAAUUGACAGCAACAAAUCGCAAAAAUGCAUCGAAGCAUACAUAGAAAGGUCGACAGAUUCAAGCAAUCCGCAAAACGUAUGCGCUAAAACCCUUGUUAGUAAUAUUCCAUCAUUUUUGAUGGAAACUGACAUUCAGGGAAACUAGGUGCUUUUAAUGCCCGAAGAGAAAUUUGUAUGCGUUAAACA